rnacentral:tRNA from 2 species
AGGCCUGUAGCUCAGCUGGUUAGAGCGCACGCCUGAUAAGCGUGAGGUCGGUGGUUCAAGUCCACUCAGGCCUA